rnacentral:rRNA from 1 species
ACGGGGGGUGCAAGCGUUAAUCGGAUUUACUGGGCGUAAAGAGUUCGUAGGCUGCUACUUAAGUUGGAUGUGAAAGCCCCGGGCUUAACCUGGGAACUGCAUUCAAAACUGGGUAGCUAGAGUAUGGGAGAGGAGAGUGGAAUUUCCGGUGUAGCGGUGAAAUGCAUAGAUAUCGGAAGGAACACCAGUGGCGAAGGCGACUCUCUGGCCUAAUACUGACGCUGAGGAACGAAAGCGUGGGGAGCAAACAGG